rnacentral:rRNA from 1 species
UAGGGGAAUAUUGGACAAUGGGCGCAAGCCUGAUCCAGCCAUACCGCGUGGGUGAAGAAGGCCUUCGGGUUGUAAAGCCCUUUUGUUGGGAAAGAAAUCCAGCCGGCUAAUACCUGGUUGGGAUGACGGUACCCAAAGAAUAAGCACCGGCUAACUUCGUGCCAGCAGCCGCGGUAAUA